UGCAUUGAAGCAUCCCUGGAUAUACUUGGCUGGGUUGAUCUCUUGACCAAUCAAGAGUCAGUUGGGGGUAGCAAUAAUGUACCCCCAAUAGGUAUAGGAGGCUUUCUUUUCAAGCCAGCUAGAGCACAAAUUUGGCGGGAAGAGGGCAGAAGAGAUUGAGCUUUUGAAGAAGAAGGUUGUCUUCCCCCGUGUCAGUUUGAGUCAAAGUACAACUCAACCUCGCUAUAGAGGAUGUUUGCAUCUACACUGUAGGCCUAAUUACCAGAGUAGAGUAACCUAGAGAUAUUGAGAGUAGUGGGCGCGAGGCUGUUUUUCGUAGAAUAAAACACCUGAACUACU